ACGUAGGAGACAAGCGUUAUCCGGAGUUACUGGGCGUAAAGGGCGUGUAGGCGGCCUUCUAAGUGGGUUGUGAAAGCGACUGGCUCAACCGGUCGAGGCCGACCCAGACUGGGAAGCUGGAGGGCGGUAGAGGGGUGUGGAAUUCCGGGUGUAGUGGUGAAAUGCGUAGAGAUCCGGAGGAACACCAGUGGCGAAGGCGACGCGCUGGGCCUGACCUGACGCUAAGACGCGAGAGCAUGGGGAGCGAACGG
rnacentral:rRNA from 1 species